AGCGGACAGAUGGGAGCUUGCUCCCUGAUGUUAGCGGCGGACGGGUGAGUAACACGUGGGUAACCUGCCUGUAAGACUGGGAUAACUCCGGGAAACCGGGGCUAAUACCGGAUGGUUGUUUGAACCGCAUGGUUCAAACAUAAAAGGUGGCUUCGGCUACCACUUACAGAUGGACCCGCGGCGCAUUAGCUAGUUGGUGAGGUAACGGCUCACCAAGGCAACGAUGCGUAGCCGACCUGAGAGGGUGAUCGGCCACACUGGGACUGAGACACGGCCCAGACUCCUACGGGAGGCAGCAGUAGGGAAUCUUCCGCAAUGGACGAAAGUCUGACGGAGCAACGCCGCGUGAGUGAUGAAGGUUUUCGGAUCGUAAAGCUCUGUUGUUAGGGAAGAACAAGUACCGUUCGAAUAGGGCGGUACCUUGACGGUACCUAACCAGAAAGCCACGGCUAACUACGUGCCAGCAGCCGCGGUAAUACGUAGGUGGCAAGCGUUGUCCGGAAUUAUUGGGCGUAAAGGGCUCGCAGGCGGUUUCUUAAGUCUGAUGUGAAAGCCCCCGGCUCAACCGGGGAGGGUCAUUGGAAACUGGGGAACUUGAGUGCAGAAGAGGAGAGUGGAAUUCCACGUGUAGCGGUGAAAUGCGUAGAGAUGU
rnacentral:rRNA from 1 species